rnacentral:rRNA from 1 species
AAUGAACGCUGGCGGCAUGCCUAACACAUGCAAGUCGAACGAAGCCUUCGAGCUUAGUGGCGCACGGGUGCGUAACGCGUGGGAAUCUGCCCUUGGGUUCGGAAUAACUCUCCGAAAGGAGUGCUAAUACCGGAUGAUGUCGAAAGACCAAAGAUUUAUCGCCCAGGGAUGAGCCCGCGUAGGAUUAGCUAGUUGGUGAGGUAAAAGCUCACCAAGGCGACGAUCCUUAGCUGGUCUGAGAGGAUGAUCAGCCACACUGGGACUGAGACACGGCCCAGACUCCUACGGGAGGCAGCAGUGGGGAAUAUUGGACAAUGGGCGAAAGCCUGAUCCAGCAAUGCCGCGUGAGUGAUGAAGGCCUUAGGGUUGUAAAGCUCUUUUACCCGGGAUGAUAAUGACAGUACCGGGAGAAUAAGCCCCGGCUAACUCCGUGCCAGCCGCCGCCGUAACAC